GCCAGUGUGGCUAGAAUGGUUUGACCAUUGGACUACAACUCUGGACACCAGGGUUCAAAUCCCUGCUCAGCCA